rnacentral:lncRNA from 1 species
CAGGGCUGCAGGCGGAGAGGAGGAGACAGGUUCCCCCCAGGGCAACAUGCCAGCCCCGUAGCACUGCCCACCCCACCCACUGUGGUCUGUUGUACCCCACUGCUGGGGUGGUGGUUCCAAUGAGACAGGGCACACCAAGCUCCAUCUGGCUGUUACUGAGGCGGAGACACGGGUGAUGAUUGGCUUUCUGGGGAGAGAGGAAGUCCUGUGAUUGGCCAGAUCUCUGGAGCUCGCCGACGCGGUGUGAGGACGCUCCCACGGAGGCCGGAAUUGGCUGUGAAAGGACUGAGGCAGCCAUCUGGGGGUAGCGGGCACUCUUAUCAGAGCGGCUGGAGCCGGACCAUCGUCCCAGAGAGCUGGGGCAGGGGGCCGUGCCCAAUCUCCAGGGCUCCUGGGGCCAC